rnacentral:tRNA from 1 species
AUAGAGUUACAUUAAUUGUUUACUUUAAAGUUAAAAGCUAUUAACUUUGUAGUAA